rnacentral:lncRNA from 1 species
GAUCUACUCCACGAUUCUACGUGGUUAAGUAGCCCCCGACCGGGAGGCCGUAUGAUCCUUAUAUAAAAUCCGUCAUUGAAACACCGCCAUUGAAAAUUAAUUAAAACCAUCGUCGAGUCCAAGCCUUUCCUUGGCGGAUUGAAACAAUUGAUGAUGGAUUUUCGACAUCAAAAAAAUUGAAUUUUUGAUGGCGGAAAUCCGUCAUUAAAAACCUGUCAUACAAUGUCUUUUCAAUGGUGGAACAACCUUGAAAUUAUCAACUGCCUACCAUCCGGAGACUGAUGGACAAACUAAAGUAACCAAUAGAGGCAUUGAAAUGUUCUUAAGGUCAGUGGCUUAUGAGAAACCAAGGAAGUGGUUAGAGAUGCUACCAUGGGCUGAGCUGUGGCAUAAUUCCACAUUCAAUAUAUUUAUUGGCAUGACACCAUUUAUGGCAUUAUAUGGUAGAGAAGCCAACACAUUCACUGAGCUUCCAAGAGAAGAAAUCUCAGAGAUAUCGGUAAAAGAAGAGCUGGACAGGAGGUCUGAAAUUGUGGAACUGAUCAAGAUCAACUUAGAAAAGGCUAAAGAAGCAAUGAAAAGGCAAGCGGAUCAACACAGAACUCACAUAGAAUUCUAGGAAGGAGAUUGGGUUUUUGUCAAGUUCAAACCCUAUCGGCAAAUGUCUGUAGCAUACAGAUUUCACCAUAAGCUAUCUCCCCGAUAUUUUGGGCCAUUUCAAGUCGAAAAGAAAAUCAGUACAGUUGCCUAUAAAAUUACAUUGCCUACUAACAGUGCUAUACACCCAAUUUUUCAUAUUUCAGUGCUCAAAUUAUACAAGGGUGAGCUUCCCCCAAAGAAAUUCAAUUGCUUACCGGCCAGAUUUAGCUGUGAAUAACGAGCCCGUUAUUUUUCCGGAGGAGGUGCUGGAGGAGAGGACGCUGCUGGUCGACGGGAAGCCCGUAGAGCAAAUACGAAUUAAAUGGCAUGGUCUGGAGGAGGAAAAGAGCUGAUCAUGGGAAGACAAGGUAACUUUGUCAAGGUUAUUUCCAACCAUUAACCUUGAGGUCAAGGGUAAUCUUAUGGGGGAUGGAAAUUAUAGGGAGACUUACCAGAACGCGAUGUUGGAGGAGACGCGACGGCUGAUCCAGGACCUGAGAGACGGACCCGACGAGUUGGAGGACGGCGUCGCCAAGUCACCGGCAGAGGAAGGGAAUAACGAUCUCCCAACUGUCGCUUUGGGGAUUGCUAAUCGGAGUCGGAGGAACCGGUACCCGAGUACCUAGUUGGCGGGUUAUGAAACCUAAUUGGAAGGGGCCAAUGGAGAAAUCAAAGGAAAUUAGAGAACUGUAAUUUCUUUUAAGUAGUAAGGGUAAUUUAGUCAAUAAAAUUAUAAUAAGUAAUAUAAAUACCUUGCUUCAAAACCUAUUAUUUUUAUCAAUGAAAUUUCCAAAUUGAAAGGUUUUAAUUAACCUCAAGUAACGGCUGAAGCAGCCCAAACACUAUUCCAUUCCCUGCCUCCAUCGAUUCCCAUCCUUCC